ACACUCGGGUUUCUCUUUAGAUCGCAUAAAUCUUUCGCCUUUUACUAAAGAUUUCCGUGGAGAGGAACAGUGAUGAGUUUCUCACUAAUUUUGGAAGCUCUACAUCUGUAGAGCU